rnacentral:rRNA from 1 species
GAUGAACGCUGGCGGCGUGCUUAACACAUGCAAGUCGAACGAUGAAGCCCAGCUUGCUGGGUGGAUUAGUGGCGAACGGGUGAGUAACACGUGAGUAACCUGCCCUUAACUCUGGGAUAAGCCUGGGAAACUGGGUCUAAUACCGGAUAGGAGCGCCUACCGCAUGGUGGGUGUUGGAAAGAUUUAUCGGUUUUGGAUGGACUCGCGGCCUAUCAGCUUGUUGGUGAGGUAAUGGCUCACCAAGGCGACGACGGGUAGCCGGCCUUAGAGGGUGACCGGCCACACUGGGACUGAGACACGGCCCAGACUCCUACGGGAGGCAGCAGUGGGGAAUAUUGCACAAUGGGCGAAAUCCUGAUGCAGCGACGCCGCGUGAGGGAUGACGGCCUUCGGGUUGUAAACCUCUUUCAGUAGGGAAGAAGCGAAAGUGACGGUACCUGCAGAAGAAGCACCGGCUAACUACGUG